rnacentral:rRNA from 1 species
AGAGUUGAUCAGUGGCUCAGGACGAACGCUGGCGGUAUGCUUAACACAUGCAAGUCGAACGAGACGAGAUGGAAGGAUCCUUCGGGUGACGGAAAUCUUAGAAAGUGGCGAACGGGUGAGUAACGCGUGGGUAACCUGCCCUAUGGAAAGGAAUAGCCUCGGGAAACUGGGAGUAAUGCCUUAUAAUAUAUGUUUGUCGCAUGGCAGAUAUAUUAAACGCUCCGGUGCCAUAGGAUGGACCCGCGUCCCAUUAGCUAGUUGGUGAGAUAACAGCCCACCAAGGCGACGAUGGGUAACCGGUCUGAGAGGGCGAACGGUCACACUGGAACUGAGACACGGUCCAGACUCCUACGGGAGGCAGCAGGUGGGGAAUAUUGCGCAAAGUGGGGGCCAACCCUGACGCAGCAAUACCGCGUGAGUGAAGUAAGGUUUUCGGAUACGUAAAGCUCUGUUAGUUGGGGAAGAAAAAAGACGGUACCCAAGAAGAAAGUCCCGGCUAACUACGUGCCAGCCGCGGC